CGGAAUAUAGCGCAGUCCGGUAGCGCACUUGCCUUGGGAGCAAGGGGCCGCAAGUUCGAAUCUUGCUAUUCCGACCA
rnacentral:tRNA from 5 species